rnacentral:lncRNA from 1 species
CGAAGUUGACCUCCCCAAACUGGUGAUCAUCCUGUUGCUGGGGAGGGUGACCUGAUUCCGCCACCUCUCCAGGAUGGAGCCCUGGGGCUGUCGCUGGAGAUCGGGGAGAACCGCCUGGUGAUGGGGGGCCCCCAGCAGCUGUAUCAUCUAGACGCUUAUAUCCCGCUGCAGAUCAACUCUCAUGAGAGCAAGGCAGCCUUCCACCGGAAGAGAAAGCAAUUAAUGGUGGCCAUGCCGCUUCUGCCGGUGCCUUCUUGAUCAGGGUGUCUCCUUGUGCUUCUGAGAUGUGGAGAAGAGGCUGCUGGCUUCCCUAAAAGUUGAAAUAAAAGAUUUUUGCCUUU